AGCCUUUGUGUUGCCCAUUCACUUUUGGAAACUAGCAGAUGUGAUAUCAAAAAAGCAUAAAUUAAACUCUUUGCCGCCAUUUUCUGCCCUAGAAAUUUGGUAUCUUUGGUGUAGGAGAUGCAUAAGGUAUAGUU